GAUUUCAACUGAAAAAGUCAUCAACAACAAANUUGUAUAACUCAUCAAGAUCUAUAACUUUUAUUUUGGUCAUUUCUUCAUCCGACAAAGUGAUAGUAAUAUUGUUCAUAAAAUUUACAUAUCUCUCUUAUAGUAUAUAUAAAAUCAUAUGAGAGAUAUGUAAAUUUUGUGAACAAUAUUACUAUCACUUUGUUGGAUGAAGAAAUGACCAAAAUAAAAGCUGUAUGUCUUGAUGAGUUCUAAAACUUUUAUGUUCAUGACUUUUUCAGCUGAAAUU
rnacentral:pre_miRNA from 1 species